UACGGGGGGGGUAAGCGUUGUUCGGAAUUACUGGGCGUAAAGGGCUCGUAGGCGGCCAACUAAGUCGGACGUGAAAUCCCUCAGCUUAACUGGGGAACUGCGUCCGAUACUGGAUGGCUUGGAUUUGGGAGAGGGAUGCGGAAUUCCAGGUGUAGCGGUGAAAUGCGUAGAUAUCAGGAAGAACACCCGUGGCGAAGGCGGCUCUCUGGGACGGUACUGACGCUGAGACGCGAAAGCGUGGGGAGCGAACAGG
rnacentral:rRNA from 1 species